AAACUGACACAGAGAAGAGCUGCCUGACUCAGACUCUUUGAAGUGGAGGGGACUCUUUGGUUUCCCUUCAGCUCACACUGGACCGAGCUCUAAUGGCCUCCCACGGCUCACAGAAGUGCACAGGGGAAUACGGACUCCUGGCUCACAACCCCAGGCCUCAUGAGUCGAAGGAGCAGUGGAAGAACAAGCUGGAGUUUACUCGGCCUUGUGCAUCCAUCAGCAACAUGUCAGCUGGCUUCCAGUUGUGGAAUCCUUAUUAGCGGUGAUGAUGGAAGAGGCACAUGGAAAAAGGCGGGGAUUUCAGAGCCCUCCAUUGAGCCCUGAGAGGUGACAGCUCAACAAAUCACCUUCAGAUUUGUGAAUUCAGCAGAUUGUUUCUGGAAGUUGUUGAGAGAAAAUAAAUAUGGAAAAC